GGAGAAAUUAUGACACCUGAUGCUAGCGGCUUUUGUCUCGCCAAGUUGACCCAGUAUUUGGCCACCUUGUGCGGCGGGUGACUAUGGUGUCCCGGUAAGUGGCUGACGUGGCAGGCGUCCCAGGAAUGGGAGAAGAGAUGGGUAUAUAUAUGUAUUACCUGAAAGCCCAGGGCAGUUGUUGCCUUGGGUCAUGCAGAGAAUAUGCAGCCACACCCAUGCCUUAGAUGUGUGUAAUUCAAGUGGAGAAGACACAAGCCAGUGGUCGCAAUAUCAACACUUGAGUGUUCUGUAAACGGAUUGGUGUCAGCAGAAAACCAACAGUGAUGUGGUGGCACACAGUGAACUGACAGGACCCAGGCAGCAGCGGUUCUUUUGGUGGCAAUGGUG
ensembl:lincRNA 2900076A07Rik RIKEN cDNA 2900076A07 gene